GGCCGCCUGGCGAAAUGGCAUCGCGUCUGACUACGAUAGGCUGUAUUGAAUACAUAAUCAUGAAUCAGGAGAUUGCAGGUUCGACCCCUGCGGUGGUCA